rnacentral:rRNA from 1 species
UACGUAGGGUGCGAGCGUUUGUCCGGAAUUAUUGGGCCGUAAAGAGCUCGUAGGCGGUCUGUCGCGUCGAACGUGAAAACUCGGAGCUCAACUCCGAGCCUGCGUUCGAUACUGGACGGCUAGGAGUCUGGUAGGGGGAUCUGGAAUUCCUGGUGUAGCGGUGGAAUGCGCAGAUAUCAGGAGGAACACCAAUGGCGAAGGCAGCACUCUGGGACGUGACUGACGCUGAGACGCGAAAAGCGUGGGGAGCAAACAGG